UGGAGGAAAUCUUCAACCGAAUGGUUUGAGAUAGACUUUGGUUCGGUUUGAAUCGGUUUCGGUUCGGUUCGGUUCGGUUUGGGUUUUUCGCCCACCCGUACAUAUAACUUGGUAAGUGGAAAAAGGAAGAUACUUUAUUUUGAAGUUUGGAUUUUCUGGAUGGAUUAAGUAAGUACGAAGCUUUGUUGUUGCUACUUUAAUUUGCAGAAACAAAAGAUCUGGUCUCUGGUCAAAAUCUGCGUUGGCUUCACCUCCUCACCACCACCACAGGUCGAACUCACUUCACCUUGCUCUUAUCUGCUCUCUUCUUCUCGUCAUCUUCUAAUAAAUUUAUUACUGAUUUUUGUUUUGUUUACAGUUUAUUAAAGAGCAGGGAAGGAAAAGCAUUGGUGUGACAUAGCGGAGUCUCCGGUCAAGCGUGGUGCGGCAGUGGUGCAAGCCGGUGGUGGUCGUGCGGUGGAGAUGCGAGCAGCGGCGGAGACUGAAGAAGUUAAUUAGGUUUAGUUAGGGUUAAUUAGGUUUUGGUUUAGAUUUCUAAACCGGUUUUGUCUGUGAACCAGGUUUAAUAAUUAAACCGAUAUCAUUUGUAAACAAAUUUUUUUAAUAAUAUAUUAAUUUCAUUUUAAAAUCAGUUAUAAGAAAA
rnacentral:lncRNA from 1 species